rnacentral:misc_RNA from 1 species
CUCUUGUUUAUAUAAAUAUCUCGUGAACUAACCAACACUAGCGAAAGAUUGUUUUGAAAAAGAUUUAAUUUAUCGGUUGUUUACAAAUAUUAAUUGGUAUUAAUAACUGAAAGAUGAGUUUUGGAUCUUCAAUUUAGCACCUGUUACGAUUAGUUACUGUCAAAGUUCCAGCAUGCUGCUGUCAAUUCUGUCAGUGCUAACAGCUGUUUCAACUUGCAUCAUACCAGCAUCUGGGCAGCAAACAUGUCAGACUGAAAUUCUACAGAACAGUACAGUUGAUAUUGACAAAUAUUUAAACAACGAAUUUCACAUUCUUGCUACAUUCGCCACACCGCCCCCAGAUGCUCUUUCAAAUUGCAUACUUCGAUGUUGUAAUCAAAGUAACUGCUCAUUGGCAAUUCAUAAUGCCACUGAUAACCAUACGUGCACUCUGAUUCAUUGUGUAUCUGAAGAUGCCUGUAAACCAAUUCCAUCUGAUGGGAGUGAAAUAGUAAAAACUAUUAGAAAUAACAUCACAACCACAGAAAGUUUAUCUGAAAACCAAAGUCAGACCACUGAAUCAACUUCGGAUACUUCCACAACUGCAUCUGGAAUCGGUUUGUCAACAAGUAGCAGAGGUGACCAUUCCACUUCUUCACAGCAAUCCACAACUCAAGAUUAUAAUGAUUUUUUAACAUCAAAUAUUGGUUACCCAAUUACUGAAACAUCUCAAUCAACCAAUGAAGUUUUGUCAACCACUCUUAGUGUUUCCACCAGCUCAGUUCCAUCCGGUCAGGAUCAAACCUCAACAACUGAAAGUACAUCAUUACAAAAUACAGACAUAUUUUCUACUAUCCCUGCAAACACCACCAAUCAAAAUUCUAUAUUUAGUAGCACCUCACCCAGUAAUUCUACAAGCAGCUCUUCCAACAUGACCACCACCAACCCUGAAGGAACGACUACCAAUUAUAAUAAUUUUACUGAAAGUUUCAAUACAACAACAACAACUACACUUAUAAACAAUGCAACCGAGAGUUCGAAUUAUACAAUAAUGUCUGUAACUCCAAAUCUGUCAGAGAAUGGAAAUGUCAGUGUAACAGAUGAUGUGAAUGUUACAUUUUCUCAGAGUAACGACACAGAAAACUCUACAAUAGAUGAUUCUACUGAAAGUUUCUAUACAACACAGCUACACUUAUAAAGAAUGAAAGUGAUAUUGUGAAUUAUACAAGUACUUAUUCUUAUCCUAAUUCAUCAAAUGAUAAAUAUAUGAACGUAACCAUAGAUGAGAAUACCACAUUUUUUCAGAGUAAUAACACCGUAAACUCUACAAUAGAUUCUAACCUCAACCAAAAUGUCACUUCCUCCAAACAAGAAACUUAUUUGAAAAAUGAAGCAGAUUCAAACAAUACGCUUAUGAUAACGGUUCUAAUUGGGACUUUAUCAGUUGGAACUCUUCUCUUUGUUGCCGU